GUUGAGGUGGCUGAGUGUGACAGGGGAUGAGGAAAAGGUUGUGCUUCUCUUUCCCCAGGACUCAGGAGUAUGUGCGAAGCCUUGGAAUGACCCAGUGCCAGCCCCUGGGCUGUGGAGCACUCAGGCAGGGCUGCAGAUGGGCAUUGUGGGCAGGGGUCCCACACAAGUGGAACUGGAGUUGGAGAGGAAGGAAAGGAAGUGUGCCUUUGAAUCACUGCAAGCAGCACAACACGUAAAGCAUCUUCUGAACCUUCUACAUGGACACAUGGAGUGUGGUGAGGAGCUAACCACCACCCCUAAGACUGGAAGUCAUUUUAGCUGUCAUAACUUGGUCACUAAAGGAAAAAUGUCUAUAUGCAUUGUUUGAGCUGGAAUCCUGCUGUUCAUUGUUUGCGGAGAGACUUGUCCUGUUUAAUGCACACCCUGGGAUGUCAAUUUCAUUUCAUAUACAUGGAGGCAGAAACCUGUUUGAUGUUACCUAUGAGACCUCCUGUGGUUGGAAACCUAAUCACCCUAUACACCUCUCCCUUUGUAGCACACCAGCAAUUAAAUCAGAUCACUUUAAUCUUAAAGGAUCCUAGAUCACAUAUACACAAAAAAUACAAAUAGGAGGUGACAUAUUUUUGACAUUUGACAUGGUAAAGCAAGCCAGUGAUAACCAGAACUUUCCAUCUACUCCCAAAGUCUUCUCAUGUCUGC